UACGAAGGGGGCUAGCGUUGCUCGGAAUUACUGGGCGUAAAGGGCGCGUAGGCGGCGUGAGUAGUCAGGCGUGAAAUUCCUGGGCUUAACCUGGGGGCUGCGCUUGAUACGCUCAUGCUAGAGGAUGGAAGAGGCUCGUGGAAUUCCCAGUGUAGAGGUGAAAUUCGUAGAUAUUGGGAAGAACACCGGUGGCGAAGGCGGCGAGCUGGUCCAUUACUGACGCUGAGGCGCGACAGCGUGGGGAGCAAACAGG
rnacentral:rRNA from 1 species